rnacentral:rRNA from 1 species
GGGGGGGGGGGGGGGGGGGGGGGGGGCGGGGGGGGCGGACGGGGCGGGCGGGGCUGGGGGCGCAGGGGUGCGUACCGCGUGGGAGCCUGCCCUUGGGUUCGGAAGAACUCCCCGAAAGGGGUGCUAAUACCGGCUAAUGUCUUCGGACCAACGAUUUAUCGCCUUUGGAUGGGCCCGCGUUGGAUUAGCUAGUUGGUAGGUUAAAAGCCUACCAAGGCGACGAUCCAUAGCUGGUCUGAGAGGAUGAUCAGCCACACUGGGACUGAGACACGGCCCAGACUCCUACGGGAGGCAGCAGUGGGGAAUAUUGGACAAUGGGCGAAAGCCUGAUCCAGCAAUGCCGCGUGAGUGAUGAAGGCCUUAGGGUUGUAAAGCUCUUUUACCCGGGAUGAUAAUGACAGUACCGGGAGAAUAAGCUCCGGCUAACUCCGUG